UGGUGAGGUAGAGGUUGCAUGGAUGAUUAGUCGUAUGCUUCGAGACUUGUGAGGUUGAUGAAAGCAUAUAAAAGGCAUCCGUGCCGAAGCAUGAAGAUUUCACAGGUUUUUGUGCUGGGUCUGUACCUGAAAAAGGGCAGGACUGCCGCGGUUACGGUGCGGAGAGCUAUCCGGAGG
rnacentral:ncRNA from 1 species